GGGAGAUUGGUGUAUCGGUAACAUAGGGGUCUCCAAAACCUCUGCGCCAGGUUCGAUUCCUGGAUCUCCCG
rnacentral:tRNA from 1 species